GCUAACGUCCGUCGUGAAGAGGGAAACAACCCAGACCGCCAGCUAAGGUCCCAAAGUCAUGGUUAAGUGGGAAACGAUGUGGGAAGGCCCAGACAGCCAGGAUGUUGGCUUAGAAGCAGCCAUCAUUUAAAGAAAGCGUAAUAGCUCACUGGUCGAGUCGGCCUGCGCGGAAGAUGUAACGGGGCUAAACCAUGCACCGAAGCUGCGGCAGCGAACGUAUCACUUAAAGCGAUUCAGCGGGUUACGAUURACGGAGCGAAGCGACGUCAAAGCGUAUACAAAGUCGAGUCGGUUUAAGGAUACGUUCGUUGGGUAGGGGAGCGUUCUGUAAGCCUGUGAAGGUGGCCUGUGAGGGUUGCUGGAGGUAUCAGAAGUGCGAAUGCUGACAUAAGUAACGAUAAAGCGGGUGAAAAGCCCGCUCGCCGGAAGACCAAGGGUUCCUGUCCAACGUUAAUCGGGGCAGGGUGAGUCGACCCCUAAGGCGAGGCCGAAAGGCGUAGUCGAUGGGAAACGGGUUAAUAUUCCCGUACUUGGUGUUACUGCGAAGGGGGGACGGAGAAGGCUAUGUUGGCCGGGCGACGGUUGUCCCGGUUUAAGCGUGUAGG
rnacentral:rRNA from 1 species